UAAAAACCCUAUUUCACUUUCAGAUUCAGCAGCCGCAAACUGUCUCAGCCUCUUCUCUGCUCUUUGUGCUGAAACCCUCUUUAUCAACUUCGAUUUAGACGAAGUGAAUCAAGAGGUCGACGGCAUGCCUACGUUGGUAAGGAUUUCCUUUCUCCCUCUCCCCCAUUUCAAACUUUACCGAUUUACACAAAACCUCUGCCCAAACUUCAAUCACAGCGAAGCGAGCGGAGAUCCGACGGCGCCGUUAAAAAGGUACGGGUACGGAGGUGCACGGGCGCGCAUGUACGGAGGCUCGCGUGGCACAGUGCAUGUGGGGAGAGAGGCGCACGUGAGGGGAGCAGCUCGAAGGCGCGGUUCGUGCGAGGGCAGAGCUUGCGGCGCCUAGAUCCUCUGGAAACCCUAGGAGUUUUCCGUUUCUGAUUUGGGUUUUCUGGUGUUGGGCCAUUUGGGCCGAUUUGGUUUUGGGUUAGGAAUCUGGGCUUGUGAAUUUUUGUUUAUUGGACGGUUUAAUUGUUUUUUUUCAUUUGGUUUUAUUUUGUUAACGGGCCGGGCAAAAAUGGGCUCUUACAACAACAUUAUUAAAUAUGGUGGCCAUUCUUACUUAAGGUAAUUGCUUCGCGUA